GGGAUAAUAAUUUAUUUUAAAAUAUUUAAAUUGCAAUUAAAAAAAAUUGACUUCAAUUUAUCUCU
rnacentral:tRNA from 1 species